AGAUUGAACGCUGGCGGCAGGCCUAACACAUGCAAGUCGAGCGGUAGAGAGGUGCUUGCACCUCUUGAGAGCGGCGGACGGGUGAGUAAAGCCUAGGAAUCUGCCUGGUAGUGGGGGAUAACGCUCGGAAACGGACGCUAAUACCGCAUACGUCCUACGGGAGAAAGCAGGGGACCUUCGGGCCUUGCGCUAUCAGAUGAGCCUAGGUCGGAUUAGCUAGUUGGUGAGGUAAUGGCUCACCAAGGCGACGAUCCGUAACUGGUCUGAGAGGAUGAUCAGUCACACUGGAACUGAGACACGGGUCCAGACUCCGUACGGGAGCAGCAGGUGGGGAA
rnacentral:rRNA from 1 species